rnacentral:rRNA from 1 species
UACAGAGAAUGCGAACGUUGCUCGGAAUUACUGAGCGUAAAGCGCGUGUAGGCGAACGAUCAAGUCAGAUGUGAAAUCCCUGGGCUCAACCCAGGAACUGCAUUUGAAACUAGCCGUCUUGAGUGUUAGAGAGGGAAGCGGAAUUCCUGGUGUAGAGGUGAAAUUCGUAGAUAUCAGGAGGAACACCGGUAGCGAAGGCGGCUUCCUGGACAACUACUGACGCUGAGACGCGAAAGCGUGGGGAGCAAACAGG